GAUGAACGCUGGCGGCGUGCCUAACACAUGCAAGUCGAACGCAUGAACGUGGUGCUUGCAUGGGUUGGGUGAGGGGCGGACGGGUGAGUAAUACGUGAGUAACCUGCCCUUGAGUCUGGGAUAAGCCUGGGAAACUGGAUCUAAUACUGGAUACGACAUUGCACGGCAUGGUUCUGUGGGGAAAGGGUUUUAGUGGGUUUCGAUGGGCUCACGGCCUAUUGGCUUGGUGGUGGGGUAAUGGUACACCAAGGCGACGACGGGUCGCCGGCCUGAGAGGGUGACCAGCGACACUGGGACUAAGAGACGGAGCAGUCUGGAACGGUAGGCAGCGGGCGGAAGUCUUACACAAUGAGGCGAAGCGUGAGACGAAGGUGCCGGGUGAGGGAAGACGGCUUUCGGGUUGUAAACCUCUGUCAGCACAGAAGAAGCGAGAGUGACGGUACCUGCAGAAGAAGCGCCGGCUAACUACGUG
rnacentral:rRNA from 1 species